CAGAAUCCAAAGCAGGCUCUAGACUCUGAGCUGUCAGCACAGACCCCGAUGUGGGGCUCAAACUCAUGAACCUCGAGAUCAUGACCUGAGCUAAGUCGGAUGCUUAACCGACCGGGCCACCCAGGCGCCCCAGGAGUUGCUUUUUUUUUUUAUGUUUUGUUUUGCUUUGUUUCAGUGAAAUGGGAAUGUCCUGAGCUAAGAUGUUCCACCAGCCCAGAAGAAGCCCUUACAAUGAGAAUGCCUGUUAGAGAGGACUCAGAAAAGAUGAACUAAGAAUCCCUGGUGAGGGGCUCGGGUAGAAGUGGUGAGGUCCACCCUGGUUUCAGAUUUAGAGAUUAGUGUCACCGGCGCUUCCUCCAGGCUGUCUCCUGGCUAGCUCCCUUCAGCUGAACAGUUGAGGGUGGCUGUUGGGCUUUUGUUCGCAAGGAAUAAGGAAAAAAAGACUACCCAGACAAGACCAAAGUUUGCUUCCUCCUCCUCCAUAUGAAUUCGUUGGAAUGAAGGCCAGCCCUGAUUCGGCUGAAGAGGGAACAACAGCAUGAAUGCCGGGAGCCAUUGGAGAGGCUGGUUCUUGACGAUGUCAGGAUCCCCUCUGAAACAACGUAACCAUAAUUUCUUAGCAUUAUCAACUAUGGAGCCACUGUCUACACUUUUCUCAACUGUUUGCUUCAAUCAGGAUCCAAAUGAGUUCCAUAUAUUGUGAUUUGUCAUUAUUUCUCUUAAGCCCCUUUUAAACUAUAGAUUCCUCCUUC